rnacentral:rRNA from 1 species
GGAUUCCCCUAGUAACUGCGAGUGAAGCGGGAAAAGCUCAAAUUUAAAAUCUGGCAGUCUCUGGCUGUCCGAGUUGUAAUCUAGAGAAGUAAUGCCCGUGCUGGACCGUGUAUAAGUCUCCUGGGAUGGGGCGUCAUAGAGGGUGAGAAUCCCGUCUUUGACACGGACUACCAGUGCAUUGUGGUAUGCUCUCAAAGAGUCGAGUUGUUUGGGAAUGCAGCUCAAAAUGGGUGGUAAAUUCCAUCUAAAGCUAAAUAUUGGCGAGAGACCGAUAGCGAACAAGUACCGUGAGGGAAAGAUGAAAAGAACUUUGGAAAGAGAGUUAAACAGUACGUGAAAUUGCUGAAAGGGAAACGCUUGAAGUCAGUCGCGUUGGCUGGGAAUCAGCCUUGCUUUUGCAUGGUGUACUUUCUGGUUGACGGGUCAGCAUCAAUUUUGAUCGCUGGAAAAAGGCCUGGGGAAUGUGGCAGCUUUGGCUGUGUUAUAGCCCCUAGUCGCAUACAGUGGUUGGGAUUGAGGAACUCAGCACGCCGCAAGGCCGGGUUUCGACCACGUUCGUGCUUAGGAUGCUGGCAUAAUGGCUUUAAGCGACCCGUCUUGAAACACGGACCAAGGAGUCUAACAUGCCUGCGAGUAUUUGGGUGGAAAACCCAAGUGCGUAAUGAAAGUGAAAGUUGAGAUCCCUGUCGCGGGGAGCAUCGACGCCCGGACCAGAACUUUUGGGACGGAUCCGCGGUGGAGCAUGUAUGUUGGGACCCGAAAGAUGGUGAACUAUGCCUGAAUAGGGUGAAGCCAGAGGAAACUCUGGUGGAGGCUCGUAGCGAUUCUGACGUGCAAAUCGAUCGUCAAAUUUGGG